rnacentral:lncRNA from 1 species
UUUUUUAUUUUUUAUUAUUUUUAAAGAUUUUAUUUAUUUAUUCAUGAGAGACACAGAGAGAGAGAGAGGCACAGACACAGGCAAAGGGAGAAGCAGGCUCCAUGCAGGGCCUGACAUGGGACUCGAUCCCCGGUCUCCAGGAUCAGGCCCUGGCUGAAGGCAGCGCUAAACCGCUGAGCCACCCGGCUGCCUGUCUAUGAGAUUUUAGACCAAUUUGUGCACUUCAAUGCACUCUAAUUCUUUACCUGGAAAAUAAGGAUAAGAACAGUACCCAUAACAAAGUGACAUUAUAAAGAUGGAAAAGGCAUAUAAACUCUUAAAGGAGAGUGAGCAUGGGCAUGCUCAUUACAUCAGCUAUGAUAAGUACUAGCAUUUGUUAUUGGAGUGAGGGAAUGCUCUUCUUUACAUUAGAAAGUAUAAUGAUGAGGUGCACCUGCUGCACUCAGUCAGUAGAGUGUAUGAUUCUUGAUCUUGGGAUGGUGAGUUCGAGCUUCCUGUUGGCACAGAGAUUAUUUGAAAAAAAAAAAAAAGUAUAAUAGUGGUAGCAGCUAAUUCCUUCUAAGAUGGAAAUCCUUAGGGACACCUGGGUGUCUCAGCGGUUGAGCACUUGCCUUUGGCUCAGGGUGUGAUCCGGAGUCCUGGGAUCGAGUCCCACAUCAGGCUCCCUGCAUGAAGCCUGCUUCUCUCUCUGCCAAUGUCUCUGCCUCUCUCUCUCUGUGUGUGUGUGUGUGUGUCUCUCUCAUGAAUAAAUAAAUAAAAUUUUUUUUAAAAGAUGGAAAUACUCAAAGGUUCAGGGAAAAGCUUCACUGGAAAAGCAACAAUUCAAGAGAAAAAUAAAUUUAAGAGUAUUGAUCUAGUCCUCAAAAGCAGCAAAAGGGAGAGGGGAUAAAAGGCACAAGUUAGGGAGGAUAGCUGUGAACAGGAGGGCUACUUCUUUGCAAUGCCAACUCUACUUUUUAGGAAGACCUCAUUUGAAAUGACAGAUUUCCUACUGCAUGGAUUCCCCCAUAGUGUAAAUGCCUUGCUCAGAUGGGUCUAAACCCAAAUUCUACCAGCUGUUCUCAGCUAGGCAUUACUCCCUAGGCCAAGAACACUUCUGACAAUGUCUGGAGAAAUUGUUAAUUGUUAUGACUUGGGCAGGGAGGGGUGGAAGGAGACAAGGGGAGGGGUGGGGGAAGAGCAGCUUGCUCCUCGCAUCUACUGAGUAGAGGACAGGGAUGCUACAACACACCUCACAAUGCACACAGCAGCAUCCACACCCCCAACCCAGAAUUUAUCCACCCAAAAUGCUGAUAGCACUGCAGUGGAGAAACCCUGUUCUAGAUCAUUACAUUUCAACAUCACAGGGGUGCUAGACCUGUAUGCACAAAUAUCACGUUACAGACUUACGUAAUUUUAUUUCUGUGAUGUUUCAACUAGCCCCUCUUGCCAAAGAGCCUUUAAUGAUAAUCAGUGUGUUUCGUAGACCAUAAAGUAGUCUGCCGGGAUCCAAACUAAAUCUCUCAUCUCUUCCAUCCAUUCAGGCCCUGAAAUUCCCUUUUAUGGCUGCUGUCUUCAGAAGGGACCACAGAGCCUUGAGGAGCUCCAAGCUGUUCGUUCGGUGCCUGCAGGAAAUUUGUGGUUAAUCACUUCAACCUGCUUCACUUUAAGAGAGAUUUUCUAGGACCUGUUUAUUGUUCUGCUGCUUGGCUUCUCCGGAGUUAUCUAUGACUGAAGUCCUAACAUUUAUUUGUAGAGUAGAAGGUAUAUUUUUACUCUCACAUCCCUUCCAAGUCCCUGAAUUAAAUUAGUACGAACUUUCCAAAAUAAAUUCACCUUUGAGCUGAAACUAAGCACGGAAAGUUUCAGUCCAAAAGGAUACCUUAUUAGAAAGUUAGAGGCAAAGGAAAAUGAGGAUUAUAAUGAAUUUUUGAGUGUAACCUCAGCACUGGUAGUUACCAAGGAUAGGACCACAGGAGCACUGAAUCAAGUUCUCUUAAUGUUAACAGCUCACAGGAAUAGUAGUUACUUGGAAGUGUAAUUUGGGUAAAGCCACUUUUGUUUUUACUUUCCUUGAUUCUGUGUCACUUGCAUUUUUAGGAUUCCCCCCUCCAAAAAAAAGUUUUUUACUUCUAAAAAGUGUAUCUGGAAAAUAAUUGAUAUUUUACCAAGUUUCCUUUCUUUUUGGUUAAUUACUUCUAGAGUAUAUCCUGGCAAAUGUAAAAGAGUCAAAAGGACAAAUGCAUCUUUCCUUUUUCUUCACCUGCAAUGUGAUCCAACUAUAAUACACAUAUAAUGAUGCAGUUAGUCAAAUUAACACACACUAUAUAGUUUUAAAGGGAUCCUAUGCAUUAUCUUCAAAAUAUUUUCAUGCAUUUUGCCUCUAUGAAUGUAAGAUGCUUGCACUGUGAUGUCUGUCACCCACCCUGUCAGGGCUGAUUCUCUUUCUUUGGAUGGCUAGAGAGAGAGCCCCACCUGCCAUCAUGGCUCUGUGGACAUUUCUUCCACACCUCUCAUCAAAAAAA